rnacentral:rRNA from 1 species
UACGCAGGGGGCUAGCGUUGCUCGGAAUCACUGGGCGUAAAGCGCACGUAGGCGGGUCCUUAAGGCAGGGGUGAAAUCCCGGAGCUCAACUCCGGAACUGCCUUUGAUACUGGGGAUCUUGAGUCCGGAAGAGGUGAGUGGAACUCCGAGUGUAGAGGUGAAAUUCGUAGAUAUUCGGAAGAACACCAGUGGCGAAGGCGGCUCACUGGCCCGGUACUGACGCUGAGGUGCGAAAGCGUGGGGAGCAAACAGG